ensembl:lncRNA
AGAAUUGUCAUUUUGGGGUGAUUUGGGUGAAAUGUCUCUUUAAGUGCAAAUAUUAGUCCAUUGCUUCCCCUUACAACACUGCACAUUGUCAAUUAUAGACCAGCAUAAAACAUGUUGUUCAGUAAUCUAUUCCCUACUAGCCAGUCUUGUAGCCUGUCUUAUAGCACGACAGUUAUCACUUCAUUUUCAGCUCUAAUGCAGUUGUUGUUUUUGGGUGCUGGUGUAAUCACCAGCUUGCCAUGUCCUUGCUUGACCAGAUCAUGGCAUUCAACAUGGACUCAACACUUUACCAUCUGUUGUCUCUUCUUUUUCCACUGCGCCUAAUUGCAUGCAUGCCUAACUCAUCAAGGACAUAAAGCCUGCUUGUUGUUGUUGUUUUUUUGGAUGUUGUGCUAAUGCUGUGUUUGUGUGCAUGUGUUAAGGGGAUGAUGGUUUGUCCAAAAUGUCCUUGGAGAUCAGAUCCAUGCAUCUUUCCUGUAAUGAAGCUCUACAGAGGGGGAAGGGGACAAGGACAUGUUGCAAGUCAUAAUCAAACCUGCGUUUCCCACAAGAGCACCAGGGCUAUGACGAAUGGGAUCUAAUACUAAGGAGGAGGACAGGGGCCAGUCGUCCGGAUUCACAGGGCAGCACAACCUGCUCCAGCCCAGCCUCAGCUCAUUAGCCAGCCCUGCUAAAAUGGAGGUGUCUUCACUUCCAAAGCCUCUGCUUUGACAUUCACACAGUGCUUCCAGUCGAUCAG